rnacentral:snRNA from 1 species
AUACUUACCUGGCAGGGGAGAUCCCAUGAUCAGAAAGGUGGUUUUCCCAGGGCAAGGCUCAUCCACUGUGCUCCAGCAUGUGUGAUUUCUCCACAUGUGGGGAACUCGACUGCACAGCUUGUGGUAGUGGGGGACUGUGUGCAUGCUCUUU